rnacentral:rRNA from 1 species
GAUGAACGCUAGCUACAGGCUUAACACAUGCAAGUCGUGGGGCAUCAUGAUGUAGUAAUACAUUGAUGGCGACCGGCGCACGGGUGAGUAACGCGUAUCCAACCUACCCUCCACUCAAGUAUAGGCUUCCGAAAGGGAGAUUAAUCCUUGAUAUCGUCAUUCUCUCUCCUGUUAGAAUGAUAAAAGGACAUCGUUUCGGUAGAGGAUGGGGAUGCGUUCCAUUAGGUAGUAGGUGGUUUAACAGGCCACCUAGCCGAUGAUGGAUAGGGGUUCUGAGAGGAAUGUCCCCCCCACUGGUACUGAGAUACGGACCAGACUCCUACGGGAGGCAGCAGUGAGGAAUAUUGGUCAAUGGGCGCAAGCCUGAACCAGCCAUGUAGCGUGAAGGAUGACGGUUUUUUUGAUUGUAAACUUCUUUUC